UACGUAGGGGGCAAGCGUUGUCCGGAUUUAUUGGGCGUAAAGAGCGUGUAGGCGGUCGCACAGGUCCGUUGUGAAAACUGGAGGCUUAACCUUCAGACGUCGAUGGAAACCGUGCGGCUAGAGUCCGGAAGAGGAGAGUGGAAUUCCUGGUGUAGCGGUGAAAUGCGCAGAUAUCAGGAAGAACACCCGUGGCGAAGGCGGUUCUCUGGGCCUGUACUGACGCUGAGGAACGAAAGCGUGGGGAGCGAACAGG
rnacentral:rRNA from 1 species